CACGUAGGCACCAAGCGUUGUCCGGAUUUAUUGGGCGUAAAGAGCUCGUAGGCGGUUCGAUAAGUCGGGUGUGAAAACUUUGGGCUCAACCCAAAGCGUGCAUUCGAUACUGUUGUGACUAGAGUUCGGUAGGGGAGCGGGGAAUUCCUAGUGUAGCGGUGAAAUGCGCAGAUAUUAGGAGGAACACCGGUGGCGAAGGCGGGUCUCUGGGCCGAUACUGACGCUGAGGAGCGAAAGCGUGGGGAGCGAACA
rnacentral:rRNA from 1 species